AGGGUGUGAUCAGGGCAGGGGGCCCGAGGAAAUGGCUCCUCUGUUUAUAACACACCCAACAGGAAUCUGGGUUCAUUGUGACAAGUGGCACAAAACUUGUGGUUUUCCUAUGAACAGAUGCCCUGCAUGU